ACCCUGGCUAGCGCCAGACGUUACUGAAGUAACGUCUUCUGCAUAGCUACGGGAAUUAAAGCUGUGUGGACCCUGGCUAGCGCCAGACGUUACUGAAGUAACGUCUUCUGCAUAGCUACGGGAAUAGACCGAUCCCCUUAUUAUACUGGGUUCGAGCACGGGGGCAACCUCACUCGCGAUCGAGCUAGUUUUUGAACGUGACAGCAUCUUUGACAGUGUGUUUCAGGUUUGUUUUGGAAUGUCUUCUGCUUAGUUGAAGUAGUUUGCGAUGGCUUCGAGCGGUGCUAAACCUCCUGCUGGUAGGAGCAGAGUCUCCGAGAGAGACAUGGACUGUGAUGCCGCUGCAGGAUUUUUUCAAGGCGCGGGAGGGAACGAUCUCGGGCCACAAACAGGAGUUACUCCAGAGAGCCAUCUUCUAUGAAGGUAACCGUGGUGCUGCCAAGUCACCAAGUCGCGAUCAGCAGCCCUGAAGUGGAAAAAUCGAUUUUCCAACGAUCUGGUUGGACAUCAGCCACUAAAGUACUCAGUCUGAUUUGCCUGUAGUGACAACAGCAGCCAUCCUUGGACACCUUGCAAAGACAGGAAAAGCCACUGGUGGAAGCGACUGCUUUGAGGUGACGAUAGCAGUGCAGUGGUGAUCGCUGUUUUGUCAAGUCGAAGGGCUAGCCAACCCAGAGGAAGCAUAAAAAAAACGAUGAGCAGUGCGUGUUAUUUGUUGAGCGUGAAGAGCUAGAGGAGGACAGUGCAAACACAUGGACGGAGUGGAUGGUGUUUGAAGAACAGUGUGCUGUGUGCCGGCUGGUGGUGAUGGUGGUCUUUGUCAGCAUGUAUUCGUGCUGCUUCUUGUGCUGGAACACUUCUCGCCCAGGAAGGCAGAUUGCGUGCUCCCUGGCCCUCAGUUGGCUAUGGGGCAUUUGUUCCAGGAACAUUACCCCAGAGCCAAUGAUGAGUCGUACCUUUGAAAAGUCGAAGCUUGCUGUUAAUCGCAA